CCAAAUCUCCCCACCCCUAGCGCUCUCUGCCUCGCUCGCCUCCUGUCCUUCCCCUCCCGCUCCAUCCGGGUCGCUGACGGCUGUCUUUGGACUGGACAGCGGUGGCGGCUGCUUUUCUCUCGGGAACCCAGUAAAGUUUCACAGGAGCCGAGGAGCGGAGCAGCGGAGCAGCUUCACCGACGCCGGAGGAGCUCUAGUUUUCGCCUCCUCUGGCUGAAGGAGGAGGGUCCGGGAGCUGGAGACCUGCUUCAGCUGCCGCGUUUCUUCGCUCUCCGGGGAAGCGCCGCCCCCCGUCGGCCUGGGCUUCCCCUGCCUGGAGGGGCCGGACAUAGGGAUACCUCCAACUUUCCAGUGUUUCAGAAAGGAGUUUUUUGUUGAAACUGGAAGACCAAAAGAAUUACAAACAUGUUGUGCUGGGGAAAUGCAUCUUUUGGACAGCUAGGUUUGGGUGGAAUUGAUGAAGAAAUUGUACUAGAGCCCAGAAAAAGUGACUUUUUUAUAAAUAAAAAGGUCCGAGAUGUAGGAUGUGGACUCAGACAUACUGUAUUUGUUCUGGAUGAUGGAACAGUGUACACAUGUGGAUGUAAUGAUCUAGGACAGCUAGGUCAUGAAAAAUCCAGAAAGAAACCAGAGCAGGUUGUUGCCCUGGAUGCCCAAAAUAUCGUAGCUGUUUCAUGUGGAGAAGCUCAUACAUUAGCACUAAAUGACAAGGGCCAGGUGUAUGCUUGGGGUCUCGAUUCUGAUGGACAGCUUGGCCUGCUAGGAUCAGAGGAAUGUAUCAGAGUACCCAGAAAUAUUAAAAGUUUGUCAGAUAUCCAGAUAGUACAGGUUGCUUGUGGUUACUAUCAUUCACUUGCACUUUCUAAAGCAAGUGAAGUCUUCUGUUGGGGACAGAAUAAAUAUGGCCAGCUGGGUUUAGGCAUUGACUGUAAAAAGCAAGCGUCACCACAGCUGAUUAAGUCUUUACUUGGAAUCCCUUUCAUGCAAGUUGCAGCAGGAGGCGCCCAUAGUUUUGUACUUACCCUUUCUGGAGCUAUCUUUGGAUGGGGACGCAACAAAUUUGGUCAACUAGGUCUUAAUGAUGAAAACGAUAGGUAUGUUCCUAAUUUGCUAAAGUCACUAAGAACUCAGAAAAUAGUUUAUAUUUGUUGUGGAGAAGAUCAUACUGCUGCACUAACCAAGGAAGGUGGAGUGUUUACUUUUGGAGCUGGAGGGUAUGGUCAGUUGGGUCAUAACUCUACCAGUCAUGAAAUAAACCCAAGGAAAGUUUUUGAACUUAUGGGAAGCAUUGUCACUCAGAUUGCUUGUGGAAGGCAGCACACUUCUGCUUUUGUUCCUUCAUCAGGACGAAUUUAUUCUUUUGGACUUGGUGGUAAUGGACAACUAGGAACGGGCUCAACAAGCAACAGAAAAAGUCCUUUCACUGUGAAAGGAAAUUGGUUUCCAUAUAAUGUGCAAUGUCCUCCAGAUUUUGAUUCUGAAGAAUAUUUCUGUGUAAAAAGAAUUUUCUCAGGUGGAGAUCAAAGCUUUUCACAUUACUCUAAUCUCCAGAACUGUAGGCCACCAGAUGACUUUAGAUGUCCUGAUCCUUCAAAGCAAAUCUGGACUGUGAAUGAAGCCCUAAUUCAAAAAUGGCUGAGCUACCCCUCUGGAAGAUUUCCUGUAGAGAUAGCCAACGAGAUAGAUGGAACGUUUUCUUCGUCUGGCUGUCUGAAUGGAAGUUUUUUAGCUGUUAGCAACGAUGAUCACUAUAGAACGGGCACCAAAUUUUCAGGGGUUGAUAUGAAUGCUGCUAGGCUUUUAUUCCACAAACUUAUACAACCUGAUCAUCCUCAUAUAUCUCAGCAGGUGGCAGCUAGUUUGGAAAAGAAUCUUAUUCCUAAACUGACUAGCUCCUUACCUGAUGUUGAAGCAUUGAGAUUUUAUCUUACUCUACCAGAAUGUCCCCUGAUGAGUGAUUCCAACAAUUUCACCACAAUAGCAAUUCCCUUUGGUACAGCCCUUGUUAACCUAGAAAAGGCACCACUGAAAGUACUUGAAAACUGGUGGUCAGCACUUGAACCUCCACUAUUCCUCAAGAUUGUAGAGCUUUUUAAGGAGGUUGUGGUACAUCUUUUGAAGCUCUACAAGAUCGGCAUUCCCCCUUCUGAAGGAAGAAUUUUCAACAGUUUUCUUCAUACUGCACUAAAGGUUUUAGAAAUAUUACAUAGGGUAAAUGAAAAAGCGGGACAGAUUAUACAGUAUGAUAAAUUUUAUAUACAUGAAGUGCAAGAAAUAAUAGACAUAAGGAAUGAUUAUAUCAACUGGGUACAACAGCAGGCCUAUGGAAUGGAUGUCAACCAUGGAUUAACUGAGUUGGCAGAUAUCCCUCUUACAAUCUGCACAUAUCCAUUUGUAUUUGACGCCCAAGCAAAAACUACUCUGUUACAAACAGAUGCAGUCUUACAGAUGCAGAUGGCUAUUGACCAGGCCCACAGACAGAAUGUCUCCUCUCUUUUUCUCCCAGUGAUUGAAUCUGUGAAUCCUUGCUUAAUUCUAGUGGUCCGUAGAGAAAAUAUUGUAGGAGAUGCAAUGGAAGUACUUAGGAAGACAAAGAAUAUAGACUACAAAAAGCCACUCAAGGUUAUAUUCGUUGGAGAAGAUGCUGUUGAUGCAGGAGGGGUACGCAAGGAAUUUUUCUUGCUCAUCAUGAGGGAAUUAUUGGAUCCUAAAUAUGGCAUGUUUAGGUAUUAUGAAGAUUCCAGGCUCAUUUGGUUUUCUGAUAAGACAUUUGAAGACAGUGAUUUGUUCCAUUUGAUUGGUGUUAUCUGUGGAUUAGCGAUUUAUAAUUUUACUAUUGUGGACCUCCAUUUUCCUUUGGCUUUAUAUAAGAAACUGCUAAAAAAGAAGCCAUCCCUGGAAGAUUUGAAAGAACUAGUACCUGAUGUUGGGAGAAGCAUGCAGCAACUACUGGAUUAUCCAGAAGAUGAUGUUGAGGAAACGUUUUGUCUUAAUUUUACGAUCACAGUUGAAAACUUUGGUGCAACAGAAGUGAAAGAGCUGGUUCUAAAUGGUGCAGACACAGCUGUUAACAAACAAAAUCGGCAGGAGUUUGUUGAUGCUUAUGUGGAUUACAUAUUCAAUAAAUCUGUGGCUUCCUUAUUUGAUGCUUUUCAUGCGGGCUUUCAUAAGGUCUGUGGAGGGAAGGUCCUUCAGCUCUUCCAGCCUAAUGAACUACAAGCAAUGGUUAUCGGAAAUACAAAUUAUGAUUGGAAGGAACUGGAAAAGAAUACAGAAUACAAAGGAGAGUACUGGGCAGAACAUCCUACAAUAAAAAUGUUUUGGGAAGUAUUUCAUGAAUUACCAUUGGAAAAGAAAAAACAAUUUUUGUUAACCUGUAUGCUAUGAAGCUCAUCUGUGAAAUAGCAGCCACUUUGGAUUAAUUCACAUGGAGUUCGUUGAAUAAGUAUUUUAACAAGGGCUGACACCUUAUCUGGGAACACAACAGUACAAGGCAUAAUUGUGGGUAAGUCUGAUAUUCUUUUCCUCCCUCUGUUGCUGCAGACAUACAGUAGAAUUAACAGCAGGGAGAUUCAUGGUAGGAAAUUAAAAUAAUACCACUGAAGAUUUUUGAAAUUUCCAUUUGCUUUUUAAGAAGUAACAAAAAUAUCGAGCUUUAUAGUUGGCAGAUACUGAGUUCACUAAAUUAUAAGGACCAUGAUUAUUGAGUUGACUAACUUUUUAGAGUAUUUGGCCUCCAGAUAGGCCUAAUAUGUAAGAGCAACCUGUUUUUAGCCUCCCUGUCUUAAGUCAGUAGUAAUUUUAACCAAUAGCCAUUGUUCAGACUGAUUGAAAAGAUAGUAGAACCAAGACAUGUCUUUAAAUUGGCAUGAAAUAAAACCAGAAUGGAGUUUUUAAAACUGCAUUCUAAGAGCCCCAGCCUUACAUAGGGGCCCACUAUCCAUUAGGAUUAAUUUUUACUGACAGAUUUUUUUUGCCUGCCUUACUGAUUUUUACUGCAUUUAAGUCUUUUGAUUCAAAAAAGUCUUUUGAUUUUGUAAUAUGCACAUAGGGCAGUGUUCCCUGGGAAAACAUGGUGAGUUCUCAGAAAGCAGGGGCAAAUUAGCCUAUUCUCAACUUCUUCCCAAUCUCCAACCUCUUCUGAAGCCUCUAAAACUCCUGAUGGUAGUUUUGUCCUUUCUGAGUAAUUCACUUUCAGUAGCUUCCCAUUCUUAAACUGGUAGUAUUUCUAGAGAUAAAUUGGUUAGUCCCUGUUCCGUUAGUCCAGCCCCUGGGAAUGAUGCGUUAAGUGCAGAAGGGAACUCCCCCUAUUCUUUUCCCUUCUCAAUUCUUAACAGACUUUAUCACCUGGGGCUACUUUUUAACACUAUGCACAAGCCCCACUUUAGGCCAAUUAAAUGUUACCUCUUAGAGGCGAUGCACAGGUUACUUGUACUUUCAAAAACUUCCCAAGUGACCAUUUCUCCAUAUUUCUGCUAGCAUCCUAGCUUUAAUUUAAGGCCAACUUUGUUCAUGUUUUAAGGAAGGGUAGAAGUUUUCAUGUACAUAUACAUACUUCUAGAUUACAAGUGUAGGAGUGGAGACCUGUUUCAGCAGGUGGGUAUAUAUCACCUUAUGUACCACUAAGGGAGAUGCUAAUUAAACCAUGUGCCAUUAAUUGCAUCAGUGGAAUGUACUAUAUAGUGCAUUAACCAAAGGGAAUAAAAAUAGCACUGACUAGGUGGCUUUAAUUAAAUCAGGUCUUGCCAAGUAUUUGACUACUUAAAAUGACUACACACCCUCCUUUUUAGGAUAUGAACUACCUGACUUCUUUCCCAUUUUGUGCAUAUAAGCAGUAUCACUUCCUUAUUUGUAAUUGACUUCAAAAGUUUGUUGGGGAGGAAGGCAAGAGACCUGAGAGCAGGGCAUUUUUUUUGAAUAGCAGGUUUAUAGGAGGUUAUACCAAAUGUCGUUUUUUUGUCCUCUCCUAUUUAGCUUCAAAGUCUAAAGUUCACUAAAGUUCACUACAGUUGUGCCAUUCUCUGCUGUCCCUCUACCCCCAAAUCCUUUGUCUAAUCUUUCCUUUCAUAUGGCAGAGUAGAAUGAGGGAGAAAGGCAGGCAAGGCCUAAGGCCUCUGGCGUAGACUGAUUGAAAUACUAGUUUUGAAUGUGUGGUGAUGCACUGAUUGCUACAACCAGCACUCUUCAGUGUUCAAGUACCGUUGUGCUGAGACUUACAAAUUGAAUAAGAAAUGUUGUAUUAGAAGAGAGCAUCUAAGCCCUAAAGGCUGUACAAAUUCUGCAGAUUUUUAAAAUUUUAUACCUUAAACAAUGUAAGUUAACAGGAAAAAAGUCAAAUGACAAUUUUAAUAGACUUUAAAACAGUGUACAAGUAUAAAACACUGGUUUUGUAUUUCAAAAGUUGGAGGAAGAUAUCCAGUCAUUAAACAGUCUACAAAACAUAUGCCAGUAGAUUACAUAAAAGACUAUGUACAAUAUAAAAAGAGCUGAGAACAGUCUUCACUGUAAAAAUAAUUUAAAACAAAAUUUUCAAUUUAAAAUAUCAUCUAUAGCACAAACACACAUCAUGCAAAUGGAAAACUAAAUAUACUGCAUUCUUUAGUGUAGCCAAAUAAAUUCAGACUGAGACAUCGUUUAGGUAGGGAAAUGGCCAUUCAGUAGAACUUUUUCUCUGGCAGUAAUGGUCCUAGCUGGGUAUUUUAUACACUUAAAGAACAGCUAUAUUUCAAACUUUUUUUAAGUUGUAAUAAAUACUAAAGCAACAUAGGAAUACUUUAUCUGGAAGUACUGUUGGGGAAAGGUCUGGGAAAUAAAUGCUCAAUGUGCAAUUUUAUAUAAAGUAGGAACUUUUUUGAAAGGCUAGAAGCUUCUGCAGCUGAGAGAGCUGUCUCUAGUUUUAAGGCAGGCUAAGCUUUUAAAUAAAGACACGUCAUAGGAACUAGUUUCAUUAACUAUCCUGCUAUUACAAGUUACAUCACGUUCAUCUCCGUAAUACUAGGCUAGUAGUUUGGUGUUUAUUAUAACAAAUCCUCCCAACAGGAGACAUGUACUUACUUUACUGGCGGAGUUAUAAUUAACAUCUUACUACUUUGGAACUGUAAUCAGGGACCUGUUGCUCUCAUUAAUGGAGGAGGGGUGCAACAGUCCAAAAUACUACACUCCCCUUAGUUGAAGUAUCAUUAUUAUUGAUUCAUAAAGGCUUUGCAAAUUCACAUCUUGGCAGUUUAAUACUUGUGGGAAAGAAUCAAUGCAAGUUCUACCACAGUGACAGGUAUUUAAACAACAAUGGCAAAUAUUCUCAAAACUAAGGGGACCCAGGCAGGCACUAUUGUCUCUAAAGCAACUGAAGUAUUUCCAAAGCAUUUAUUUGUUUUUUAGGUUAGUUUUAUGAGCCAAUAUAGACAUUACUACAUGUCCACAGGAAGUACAAAAGCCAUCUUCAUUUGAACAAUAUCCCUAAAACUGUUAGCACCAAGUCUCACUUUAAAAAGCAAAGACAACCGAGUGCUCUCCCACAUAUUGUUGACUUCCUUCUAAUCACAUUGCAUGUCAUGAGAUUUUUAAAAAGUUAGCUGCCACAAGUUUUGGAAAAUGCCAGUGUUUAAAAAUAGAUAAUUGUGCUAAUAAAGAAUCAAAAGUUUAGCAGAACAGAGAUUUGAGGAUUUCAAACCAUUCAAUAUUAGAAAGAAAAGUGUGUAAAUACCAUUCUUUGGUCUAGAUAAGCUGUUCCCUUUACAUUAAUUUAACAUUCCAAUGGCUUUUUGAAAACUUCAAAAUGUUGAAACUCACUAGGCAAAAACAGAAUUAUACAUACAGAUGUAUCAUACAAAUGAACCUUUAAAAGAAAAUCUUGUCCAACAGCUAAUUAAAGAUACUUAGUACCUUUCUUAAAUUAAAAAAUAAAAAGAGUUAGUGUUUGUAUAAGCACAGAAAUAAGGAAGUUAAAAAUUACCCCACAGGGAAAAAAAAAAGUCUGUUUUACCAGUCUAUAAAUAUUACACCUUUCUGGUUUCAUUGCUCUAGAGUUCACAAGUAAACAUUCAUUUUAACAUGCUAAAGUUCCUAAUGCUGGUGGAACAAUUCCUGUACCUGGACAAUUAUUACGAUUUGUUUGAUGGAUAGUUAAUGCCUGCUGCUUCCUGUUUCAUGGAUAUAGUAGCUUCAUUGGAUAUAGCUUCAUUAACUGCCUCUUGAUCACCUCCAUCAGCUCCAAAUCCAGUUCCUCCAGCUCUCUCAUUACCAUCAGCAUCAUCUUCCAAACCAUUGUAAAAUUCUUCAAUCUCACUUUCAUCCUCCAUGGGUUCUUCUAAACUUGGACUCUGGCAUGUUCCACUAUCACUGUUACUGCCACAAGAACUAGAGGAUAAGACGUCAUCUUCAGAGUCUGAAUAUACCUCAGCGCCAUGGAAAAUGUAACGGUUUGGUGGUAAAAACAGAUAUUGAUUACCUAAAAUACAGUAAUAAAAAUAGGUUAUUUCCAGGUUUCUAAGACUAACUUGGCCUGACCAGGCUGUCUGGAAUAAGCUUAGGUUCUAGUUCUUUUACCUAAGUAUCAUUAGUAGAGGCUAUUACAGAGUUUCUCAAAGGCAAGCUAUAGACUACCUCAUUCCUGGCUGCGGAUCUUAGUUCUGCCACUCACCAUCUCUGUAAAUUUUGAGUUCUCUCUGCGACUAAACUUCCUCAGCUGGAAAAUGAAGUAAUUUUCACAACCCUAUGAGGUAAGUAUGAAUAAAUGUAGAGAGUCACGUUCAAUGAAGUUUAGUUAACGAACUCCUUGAACAGAUCUGAUGAGAUGAAAUUAAGUAUCCAGCCCACCACACAGAAGGGCCUACCACACACCCUCUGAAUUGGAAUCUUGCUUUUAUGAGUCUUAUACACAUUUCAUUUAAGUGUGAGAAGCAAUGAUAUUGACCUUUCCCAACAUCUGUAUCCUGUACCUGUCUGUUUUUGCCCUCUUGGCAACCAUCAAGACAUUUAAAAUUUACUUCCUAUUAUUAUAUGCUCCAACUUUCUCCUUUUCAGACUUGACCUCACAACAAAAAUAAUAGCAAUAACAGCUAAAAAUGUUAAGUUUUACACUCUAUAUCAGUUAUCUUUUUAAAUGCUCACAAUGCUAUGGGAGAGGUAGAUGUGAAUUAACUCAGUCUAAUUCCAAAGCCUGUAUCUUUAAAGGUCUAAAUUGGUAGAGUAAAACCAAGGCGUAAUACCAAAGACACUGCUCUAGGUCUAAUCUUUCUUUCCUGGGGCAGAGUUUUAUAUAUUUGACUCAUCUGUCACAAAGAUAGCCAAUGAAUAUCCCCAGUAGGUACUCUUGCGUAUGAUAGAAACUUCCUUUACCGGAUACAGUCAACAGUAAUUUUUCUGUUUCUGACUCUUGCCACAUUUGCAAAUAUUCUAUGCAAGUAUUUUUCUAGUUUCCCCCACAAAAGACAUCUCCUACUUAUCUAUAGUUCAAGACCCAAGUCAGAACUUAGGUUUUUAGAAAACCUUCUAUAACCCAGUCCCCUGGAAGUAGCAUCUACCUUUUAAAAUAUCACCAACUUCUUCAUUCACCUAUUUUUGUAAUUAUACACAAACAUCAGUAGCUUGAUCAAGGUCUCCAGAACUUGCUACACUGCCUACUAUGGAAAAGGCCCAAACAUUUAUUCAGCUGAACUGAAAUUUAUUUACAGCAAAUGAUUAGAAUACUUAAUAAUUUGUCCCAAAUUUCUCAGUUUUUCACCACAUAUGGUAAAUGGAAUGGGACUUAAUAUUUUAAGCUGUACACUAUUGCUGCAUCUAAGUUAAUGAACCCACAUUACUGCUUUAAUUAAAUUAGGAUUUUUCACCAUAGAUACUACUUGGACAUAAGGGUUUCAAAAAGUAGGAAGUGAUUUCACCUAUGUUAAUACUAACUGGUAAAGACUUUCCAUGUGUCAAAACAGGGCAGUUGCUAUUUCUGAUACUCCGGAGGAGUCAGAUGUUUUUUGGAUCUGAGACAACACAACAUAAUGGUACUGGAGACAACAUUCUUCAAAUCCGGAUUCUCCAUCUGUUCAUUAACACUUUCAAUGCUCCUAGAAGUCUGUACUUCCUGUAAUUUUUCUUCUACACCGUCUUUCGAUUCAGACACACCUGGGUCAUCAACAUUGUUUGUUGCUUGGUUUAAAAGAGUGACAAUCACUGAAGAAUCUGGUGGUGGAGUUCUUUCUGGUGAACUAGAGUCUUCUGAAAUAUUGAGAGGUGUGGGUGGCAACUCUGACAAAUGAGCCAACUCUUUUUGUGGUCGUGGAGGUUUUUCAGUAAUUUCUGAAAGCUUUACAGGGUUGCAGCAAAGUUUGGCAUAUUCACCACCUAACCUAUGACACAAUUCAUUAAUAAUGACAUCACAGUCUCCAAGAAGCUCUACAUCAAAAUGCAGGUGAGGCAAAGGUUCCCUAUUAAUUAAUAUCUGAGGCACUUCAUGGGGUAUGGAACCUAAAAGUAGAGUGAAAAAGUAAGUUAGAGAAAGGAAGGGAGGCGCCCUAAUAAAGGCACAACAAAUACACUACAUAAAAAUCUAACAUGCUCCCGAUAUGAAAAAAAACCUGCCACUAAUACAUAACCAAGCUAUUACAUAUCAUCAAGCUAUCAAGUAAACAGAUGAACAGUUAAACAUCUUUCAGAAUUUCAGUUUCUGCUCCUGUCACCUAUUUGCUUGCCUCUGAGUAAUCAUCUUUUCCAUUCUGUACCUCAAUUCCUUGUGUGUAUAAUGGGGAUAAUAACUACUUUUCCACAAGCUCGCAGGGAGGAUUCAGUGAGUUAAUACAAAGAGUUCUUGGCACAAAGGAGGUGAUAGUUAUUCUGAAUGGCUCCCAAUAUAAAAUGUAAAACUUCAUACAAGUCUACUUUCCACUAUCAUACACCAGUGUCUUACUUGUUUUAAAAAAAGAACCUUUGCCUAUCACUAUUAUACUACCCCACAGAAAACUUAACACUUCUCUGCCUUUAAAGAGGAAAAAAAAAAACUCAAAAAAUAAAAAAGCUUAUACAUUAAAUUUUCAAAUUCUGUUUAAAAACUGUCCUAUAUUCUACUUUGAUAAAAUUUCACAGCUAUUUAGGGAAGAUCGAAUUAAACUGCUAAAACCACUACAUGUCAGGUAGGAAACAUGCUGAAUUGGAGACAUAACUCCUUGUUUCUUCCAGUGGUUGACCCUGGCUGCCUAUUUGCUGGUGUAGGAGUCUAAUUUAAUUCUCUAGUUAAGGGUUUGAUAUUCUCUGCUUUCUUUCUUCCCUCACUUUUUAGGGCACAACUAAUCUACUGAAAUCAGUCUCUCUAUCUUCCUUUCCCUGUUUGCUCACUGAGGGAGGGAAAAGAAGUACAGGAGCACGGGUUAAAGAAAUAUUCCUGAGAGCAUCAGGGAUUCAAAUUGAGCAUUUUUAUAUGCACAAACACCCUUAUGGGUAGAGCUGAUCUACAUACAAUGAUUAUGACAAGGCAUUGUUAUUUUUACAAAAACAAACCAAACGUUGUGAACUCUGAAAUUCUAUCUUACAUGAGUACAUUACACACCUAUCAAGCUAUACAUUUGAAUUUACUGGACCAAAAAUCAAUUAAAUUUGAAAGAUCAAAUUAAGAUUAAAAACACAGAUUUUUUUAUUUUACUGUUUCCUAACUGUAUAUAACUUAGUUGAUGUUAACUUCUGCCACAUUAAAAACACAUUCCAUUGAAAAGUUUAGGUUGAACUGUUUCCCAUUGUCUUAAGUUUUAUAUACAGUACAAUUUUAUAUUUACUUCUGUUUUGAAAGUAGUAUCACCCACCUAAACCCCAAUGAAAUGUGAGAUAAACCAAUCUUCAUGAACAAGAAUGUCACCUAAAGAAAAAUAGUUUGACUCUUCACCACUCUAACAAGAUUUUUUUUUUUUUUUAAUGGAGGUACUGGGGAUUAAACCCAGGACCUCAAGCAUGCUAAGCCCAUAUUCUACCACUGAGCUAUUUCCCUUUCCCCCUUUAACAAGAAACAGCAAGAUCACUGGGGUCUACUCUACAGACCCACAACCCAUGGCAAUAUAUACAGAAAUGGUUCUCUAAAAACCAUCACCAACUUACUUGGAAUUAGUGCUACUGGUCUUACUUUCAGGGAAGACCCAAUAACAAUGAGAAGAUCAACUUCAUCUUUGUCAUACUUCAUGGCUCUGUGAAACUGUUCUGGUAAAUUUUCACCGAAAAAGACAAUCUCUGGUUUCAUGAUAGCAAGUGGCUCAUCAGCUGGGCACCUAGGACAUCGAGGAACCACCUGCAUGUUCCAGAUUUUGGAUGAGGUGGGAAAGAGAAGGCCCAAGUUAGAAAUAGUCAACAUUUCCACACUUCCCAAGAAUGCAUUUCAAAAUUAUCAAAGAAAAUAGAAAAGCUGCGGAUAAACAGCAGGGAAAACUGGGUAAAACCUAAACAACAUCAACUAUCAAUGACCCAUUAAUUUGUUAACAUAAAGUGAAAUACAAUUUUGCUAUUAUCUGUGCUAUUAUAUCUGUAUAGACCUACAUCUGAUAUUCAAUAGUUUGUUAUAUAUUAAAAGGAAAAACCAGCAUAUGUAUAUACGUACGUACACACACAACUAAUCCUUUAAAAAAUAAGUUUGUAAAAUACAGUGAUGCCAUCCUUCUCUAAUAAUUAUACAUGAUUAACUAGAUGUGUGACUAACCACAAGGAAUUUAUUUCUGGAUGUUGUUUAUUCUCUGCCAUAUUUUCCUGUAAAUUUUUUUCGCAGCGUACAAUACUUUGUACAAAAUACUUCAUGCAGGAAUUUUUUUAAAUUUUAAGGGAGGAGGGUAUAGCUCAAGUGGUAGAGCUGGAUUCAAUCCCCAGUACCUCCUCUAAAAUUAAAUGAUUAAACCUAAUUAAUAAUAAAUCUUCAAAAACCGUAAUAUAAAUUUUUUUUAAAUUUUAAAUCACAACUCAUUUAAGAUUCUGAAUCUGACAGGCACUAAAAGGGAGAGUAAGGAGAAAAACUAAACUAAAUAAAACCCCAACUUAUGAUCUGGGUUUUUAUUUUAGGCUUAUAUAUGAAGUAACCAAUUUAAUCAUUUGAGAGAGAGCAUGGAUCAAUGUUUUCAAUUUAAGGUAUUGAAAGGUUUUUGUGUAUUUCACUGGAAUUCCCAAUGGUAACUAAUACUGACUUCCUGAAUGUUUCUGUACUACAUACUUUCAGGGGAAAAAAAAAAGAUUGAGGCAAAAGAAACAGAUCAGAGACAUGCACAAUUCCUAAAAUAAAUUACCUGAUUAAAAAUAUCUCCCCGUACAGCUUCACAGUCAACUUUGUAUUUACAAAUUAGGCAAGAUGCUGUUGCAAAGGAACCUAAAAACAACCAAUAUAUAUGCUUUUAUUAAAGGAAUUUUCCAUUUCUUAAACAUACCACGAAAGUUAUAAUAUAAAUUUGACACCAAAAAGUUAGAGAAUUUAAAAAUUCUAAGGCCUUCACAAGAGAGACAUUGAUAUAUUGAUGCUUCCUAAAGCUACUCUUUUUAAUAAACCAACUCCUCCAGGACUAGAACUGCAGAUUUUGAAGGUUACUGUUAUAUUACCUUAGCUUAAGAGCUGUGUUUUAAAGACAGUUUAGAUACAUAAGAAAAUGGUUGUGUAUUCAUACUUGUUUUAGAUCAAGUCUUCAAAUUUCUGAAUCCUGUACAUCUGAACUACCCAGUAGUUUCUUUUGGUUUCCUAAAGAUGCCAUUUUUUUUCAUCCAUAGCUACUUUUGUAAUCCAAAGAGAUUAUUUAAAAGAAUGUAAUGUUAUGCAACUGCUGCUACAUCUUUUGAAAUACAAAAGCACGUUACGUUUGAUGUUUUGUACAGUUAACUGUCAAGGCCAGUACUUUCUGAUUUCCUUUUUUUGGGCUCUACUCAUCAACAAUUAAUCAUAAAAUAUGAUUAAAUAAUAAGGCUUAAUCUCCAUUCCUGGAUGGCAGCCUACUUUCUAAUUCUAUUUUUUUCUACAAAACUAGUAAAUAAAUAAUAGCAAUUCUGAAGUUUACUGACCAUGACACUGAAUUAUCCUUUGGAUUCCUGCAACCUGUUCCAGUGUAUCAAUGUUCUGAGUAUAGUUGCGAAGAAGUUUUCCUUCCUUAUCUGACAAGGCUAUGAAUUUGUGACAGAGAGAUGGUUGGAACUGUCCAGGAUAUAUUUCCUAGAUAAUGCAAAAAGCAGAAAAAAAGAUAAAAAGAAAUAAGGGUAACAGAUGUCAUACAUUUAGGUUUAACCAAAACAAACAGACAAAAAAAAAUACCAGUGAUAAUUCCCUGUGUGUAAGUUAUUUAAAAAACAAUAUAUGAGCAUCUCAAAGCAUCUAGAUGGAUGCAACACACACCUACCAAAGGACUGUUGCUGUAAUAUGUAUAAAACUCAGCAAUUAGUGAACUUGGCCCCUUGAAAAGGAUAAAGUCAACCCAUAAACAUCUCUUAAAAAUGUUAAUAGAUAUUUUAGUAAAAGUCAGAAGAAAUACACACCUUAAUAUAUAUCUAAGUUUUGUUGGCUGCAAAUUCAGAUUUUUUUUUAAAGGAAAAAAGGGGGAAAGUUUAAACUGAAAGAUAUCAAAGGUAUGGUGACUUCUUUUUUAAAACUAAAAAAAGGCACUGUCAACAUAGUAUUAAAAUUUUUUGAUUCAUCAUUCAUUAUAAAUAUCAACCUGUUGGAAGUUUAAAGCUAAAGUUUUAAUUCCUUACCAAAAUUGUUUUCCUUCCACUGCACAGGCACAUACUGGUAUAGUAUAGAGUUGCUCAUGAAUGCUGAGUUGCUGGAUUUUGUGUGUGUGUUUUUCCCCCCAAAUAAUGCUUCAAUGCUGUUUCUUCUUUAAAAACAAAGAAUUCAGAUAUACACAUGGCAAAAAGAUCAGAGAAAAAGUAUCAAUUUUGGUCCUCUCAACUUUUGACAGUGUUUUUUCUUCUAUUAAAUUUCAUUUAGUAAGUGACUCUGGCAAAGGAAGUUUCUUCUCUACUUUUUUCUUUGAAGUAGCAGUUCUGACGACUUCCUCACCAUUCAUUACAGCCUCAGCCUCUAACCUAUUACAGUGCUAGCAAAAAACUCGACACAACCAUAUGUCCAUCACUAGGGGACUGGUUGUAGAAAUGGUACAUCCAUAAUAGUGGAGUAUGCAGCCAUUAAAAUGAAUGCAGGAGGACUAGAUACACUGACCUGAAAGAUAGCCCACGACAACGUGAAAAAAAGUUGGUCAGCAGUGUGUACAGUUUUGGUUUUUUAUUGUUAUUAAGCAAAAAUGGAAACUAUAAUGCAAAGUAUAUAGAUAGGUUCAUUUAAACAUCAACUCAGGAAGGAUACAAAUAAGCUAUAAAACAGGCAAGGGAACUGUCCCUUCUGAUGUCAUACAGAAAAAGUUUAAUAGAUUCUACACAACUUUUAACUUUUAAUCUACUUAAUAUUUCAAGUUUAAAAAAACUAUCUACAGGGAUAUCCUUUAAGUGAAAAAUAAGCAGAUCUCUUAACUAUCACAUACAUGCCCAUAUGCUGCUGAAAAUGUUAUACAAAACCCAAAAUUCUGCCUCCCAUUCAAAUUUUUAUCAUGAAUUUCAUAAACAACACUGUGAUUUAAUAAAGUGCAUAUAGAAAGAAGUAACAAGUGAAGAGUUUAUCAAAGCUGAUGUUUAUAGAAAACUGAAAGCCACAUUAUGUUCUGGACUAUUGGGUUGUGCUCUAGUAACCAAUGCUUUCCCCCCCAGGAUGCUUUGUUCUAUUACAUUUACAUUUAGAGGAUUAAACACCAUAAUACCUUAUUAAACCUCCCUCUGGAAAUAGCUGUCAGAGUAUUUUAACAAAUAUUAGAGUAUGUUGGGCAACAGGAUCUAAGGAAAAUGCUAAUAGCAUGCCAGAAGCACCACAAAUGGCUGACUACCUCCAGAGCAACACUGGGCAGCAUGAGUAUUAAGACUCCACCCUUCUGGAAUGAACUUUUUUGUGCUUUAUCAUCUCCCACCCUUUUUCAAAGGGGAAAGUAAGAAGCACAAAGACCUGUAGGAACACUAGAUUCAACUCUACACUCCAGCUUCCCUUCGCGUCUUACCCAUUAACAGUUCAGGAUGAGAGGGAGGGUAUAACUCAGUGGUAGAGUGUGUGGUCAGCAUGCACGAAGUUCUGGGUUCAAUCCCCAGUACCUCCAUAUAAAUAAGUAAAUAAAACCUAAUUAUACCCUCCUCCAAAAAUUUUAUUUUGUUAAUUCAGGAUAAUUUAGCCCUUAAAUUUACAAAUCAAUUCCUAUAGUUGGGAAUAAUUUAUAAAGGAUUUUUUUUUAUUUUACAAGCCAACACUUUAUGUGUUAGAACCUAAGUGAAUCGAAACUUAUGUUUUCUGUUAAAUAUGCAGUGGACCAUGUCUGAAUCAUUAAAUUUGAAUACUAUGUUCAAAUUAAGGGAUAUAAUCUUAAAUAAUGGGGGGAAAAAAACUGUACUCAGGAAGGACUGUUACAUAGAAACUAGUCCUAAAUCAGACUCUUUUAACAAGAGAAGUUUACUAAAAACUAAUAGCUGAGAUACAACUUUCAGAUAUGGAACUGUGACAUGCUAAUUACUGUUCUAAGCAAGACAGGCCAUCCCAAAUCUGAACAUCCUUAAGCCCUAUUAAGGAACCAAUCAUGUGGGCUGGACCACUGUUAUUGCCAUAGGGAUCCUUUUAGAACAGAGUGGAAGCAGAGCCCAGACCAAAGGCUCAAAAUGCUAUUAAAAUUAAUAACAAGUUGCUUUCACACAGCUGUGUCCAGAAACAUGCAAACAAUCCAGUAACUGGCCAUAGGCAACCAAUGUGGCCAAAACUAAAGCUCAGAUCUACCUGCCAUAAUUAGUUUUCAUGUAGAAAUAAUGGGCUUUCUCCAGAGACACUCCGCUUGCUUUCUUAAAAUUCCAGCAAAAGGUAGGCAUGUUAAUUGCAGCCCCUUGAAACUAAAAAGACUCAUCACAAGUCUGAUGCUACUAUUUGUUAAGUAAUAAGGAGAGUUGUUAAACUAGAACCUAGUGAGGAGAGAAACAGCUCAACUGGUAGAACACAUGCUUAGCAUGUAUGAGGUCCUGGGUGAAAGAAAGAAAAGAAAAAGGAAAUAAAAGACAAAAGGAAAGGAAAGAAAAAGGAAACUAGAACCUAAAUUCUCCAUGUUAAGUCCAACUGAUUGAUCUUGGUAAGGAAAAUCCUGAUAAUCCCUGGUCCUGUUACAUUCAUUCCACAAAACCACAGACUGUUCAAUCUUACCUAACCAAUAUUUACAAAUUAAAGUUAGUCACCUGACAAAUUAACUACUUUUUUCCCCCUUAAAAGUCUGGUUUCCUGAGGAACUCAAGGUUCAGCAAACUUUACCCAUACCGGGGCACCAGAUAGUAAAUAUUUAAGAUUUUGGGCUGAGGCUCUAGUCUGCAGCCCCUAUACUAACCUAACACAAGAAAAUUUCAAUUAGUCAAGCUAUUCAUUACCACUUAAUGCACCAGGCGUAACAGAAGCACUUUAUAAUAACGCUGUAGACUGGGCUGAGGACUGAGUUUUUACAUUUUCAAAGAACUGUAAAGGAAAAGAACAGUUUGACAGAGCUCCCAUGUUGUCCACAAAGCAGGUUACAUUUACUACCUGGCCAUUUACAGAAAAGGUCUGCUGACCCUCCUGUAAACAUAUAAAUCCCAUUUUGCCAAUGAAAAAAUGAAAGUACAUUAAGUCACUUGCCAGUAGUCAUAUGAGCCAGUAAGUAGCAUAGCUAUCACUCAAACCCAGUUGUGAUGCCAAAGUGCAGCUCUUAACCACUAUGUAAUACUAAUACUGCCUUUUCGAUUUUUAAUCCCUCAACCGCAUGUUUCCUAUUUUUCUUUCAGGCUAAGUACCAUUUCUAUAAGGUUUUGCAAAUCAGUCUAGUAAGACUAAUCUAGCCUACUAAGUAUUUCAUUUUGCACAUCUUCAUGGGAUUACUGGAGGCUGGAAUUCCAAUCACCCUCUUAACAUAAAAACAUUUGACAAUAUGUAAAGUUCCCACAAAUCACUGAGAAAGAAAAGCAUCUCAAUGGAAAAAAAUGCGAAGAAGAAUCAGAUGAUUCAAAGAUAUACAUAUGGCCAGUAGUACAAAGCAGUCAUCUACACUAAUAAACAAAAUAGAACACACUAAUAUGAGAAGAUGCAGGGGGGAGGGUAUAGCUCAAGUGGUAGAGUGCAUGCUUAGCAUGCACGAGGUCCUGGGUUCAAUCCCCAGUGCCUCUUCUAAAAUUAAUUAAAAAAUAAACUUAAUUACCUCCCUCCUCCGCCAAAAAAAUUUUUUUAAUUAAAAAAGAUGCUGAUUUUUUUAUUGUAACGAUAGUUUUAAUUGCUUUAAAAAUAACUAAAUAUCCACUAACAAGAGACUGAUUAACACUGUAGUACAACUACAAAAAAAAAAAAAAAAACAACUGUGCAGCCUUUUCUUUAAAAUGAGGCAUAUCUAAGUGCCAUUAUGAAACUAUUUCCAACAAUAUUAAGUGGGAAAAAAAGCAACGGAGACAAAAGGGUGUUGGUAAUUCUGUAGGUAAUCAUUUUUAAAGUAUUAUUAGUUUAUACUGUAUUGCACAGGGAACUAUAUUCAAUAUCUUGUAGUAACUUAUGGUGAAAGAAUAUGAAAACAAAUACAGGUAUUAUGUUCCUAUAUGACUGAAGUAUUGUGCUGUACACCAGAAAUUGACACAUUGUAAACUGACUAUACUUCAAUAAAAAUAUAUUUUAAAAAAAGUAUUAUGAGAAACUUACAAUACCUCUUGCCCUACACACACAAACAAACGGGUUUACUCAUUUUUCCUAGGACACAUUUUACCAUGGUAACCUUUGAGAAAGAUAAGAGGUAGGGAAGCCUGAAGGGAGAGACCAAAUGACAUCUGUAUGUUAAUUUUUUUAAACCAUAUACAUAACACAUACACUAACACAUACACACACAAUUUCUGAAAAAUACUUUAAUGCUAAUAAUGUAUUAUGGAGACUUUUUUUGUGGGCGAGAGGGCAGGGGCAUGCUAAAUCAGCUUUCUUACACACUUCCGAUGGGAGUAUAUUUAAUUCUACCUUUCCAGGUAGCAGUAAGGUAAAACAAAUCAAGACCCUGAGCAGCAAGCAACAUUGCUUUUUGGAAAGAUUUUAAGAAAAUCAGAAACAUACCAGAAAGAACAAUCAUAGCAGUAUUAUUGGUAAUAACAGAAAGUAGGAAACAUCCAAAAUGAACAAUUGCAGGAUUAAUUACAGUAGGCCAUUAUAAAGUAUUCAAGUAUCUGACAGAAAGUUUAUCAAAUUAAAAUACUGUAAAUUGUAAAGCAGUAGGUAAAAGAGCCCAUAUUUAUAAAGAAAAUAUACAUCCAGCUAUAAUACUGUAUUUAUACACUUGGUUUUAACAUACUGUAUUCAGGUACAUGGGUCUCUUUUUGGCGGGGAGCAUGGGGGUAGGUUAUGUUAUAUUUUUUGAUGUAAUGAAGUAAUGAGCUGGUUUUUAGAUUUCUUAACUUUAUAACUAUAUAAUCUGAUAUGUUUGCCAAUUAUCAAUAAAGUAUUUAUGGAAUGAAUAUAUUUUUGGAAUUAAGUUCUUAAGAACUCAGUUCAUAUUUCUCCCUUUUUCUUGAAUUUUAAUUUUAGGGAGAAGAAUAUUCACUAUAGUCAAUAUGGGAUAGCAACUACACUCUUUGAACACAGUCCUUUAAAAAAAAAAAUCAUUUUAUAAUCCUCAGUUUCACCUUCAAUGACUUGUACUAAAACGACUCAUUUUUAUCAUCAUCAAUGAAUUGUUUUAGACUCCUGAGAACCAUGACCACAACUCAUUAUCAAUUUAAGCCCGCAUUAUGCAAGAGGAUAAUGGUUCAGAACAGGAAAGUAUGUUGGCUUUAAUUGUUCUUGUGUAGAAGAAUUCAAAGUGGUACCACAGGUAGGCACACUGUUUUAAUACAGUGGGGCUCAAACAGGGAGCAAUUUUGCAGGGGACAUUUGGCAACAUCGGGAGACAUUUUUGAUUGUCAAGACUAGGGGUGAGGGGGCUAAAGGCAUUUAGUGGGAGGCCACUGGUUGCUGCUAAAUAUCCUACAAUGCACAGAAGAGCUACUCACAGCAAAGAAUUAUCCAUCCCCAAAAUGUCAACAGUUGAGAAACUGCUCUAAUGAACCAGUAACUCUUUCACAUACUUCUCCAUUACUUAGAAUUUCUAGUCUAAGUGAAAUCGAAGUUUCUUCUCAAUAAUUAUAGUCAUCUGUAGAAACUUUCUUUCCAAUAUGCCUAAAUUCACAAUAUUCCCUGUUUUCACGGCUUUGUAGUAAAUUCAUUUUCUCUCAUAAUUAGCAAAAUAACCACUUUCAUAACUUUCUCCCUAGUACAGCACCUGAUAGAAAAUUUGAGCUGAGUAUUUUACUCAUGUAUUAUUUUAAGAAUCUAGUAAAACUUAUCAACACUUACCAUACCCUCCCCCAUCCAACAUUUUUGGAUACUAUCUUUCAUUCUUUGUCCUUACUUGUCCUUCACCAUUUUCGUAGGUAUUCAUUUUCUGACCCAAAAUAACUCAGUCCUUCUUACCUAUUACUAUUAAUUUUAAGCGCUACUUCAGCAACUAGAAACACUCUUUUAGGCAGUUCCUAAUGUGAGAAUUGAAGUAUAAUAUCCUAUUUGAGUGGCAGUUUCAAAGAUUAUUUAGCUCUUACCAGAACUUAAAUGAAAACUCAGAAAGCAAUCAAGCAAAAUUAAAUUUACAUAAAGACAGUAAAAUGCUGCACUUUAUAAAUGAUUGAAUUGAAUUACUUUUUCACUUUAUUAACUAAUAAAAACAUGCAAAUUCUUAAAACUUUCAUAGAAAAUUAAACAUGCUGUCCCUCCAAACUCUUCUCCCAGGUAGUAUAAAAUUUGUACACAGUAGCUAAUACUGUAACACAUUAUCAUUGAGCCAUUUUUACUGAGAUACUUUAUUUUCUCUUAUGCACUGUCUAGAUUCUAUUAUAUGCAUUUAUAAUUUGUCUUUGUCAGAGUAAUUAAUUGCUUCUACAGAUUCUUACAUGUCAAAAUUAGUUUAAGCUAAAAAUGAAUACCCAUUAGACAACUAAGGUUACAAUCUUUCUCACCUUGCUAUUUCUAUUCUCUGUUACCCCAUUUUUCCAAGUGUCAGGCUACAACUUUUACCAGGCAAUUUAGUACAUACUUAAGUGAUAGGGAAAAAAGCUGACAAUCUAGUCUGGGCAACAUGGUUUAUGUUUCCUCUCAGAACACAGAAUUUACAGCAAAAAUCCAGUAGCGUUAUGUUAGUGCACUACUGAAUCAAACUCACAGAAUGAGAUAUAAAAUCAAAGUAAUUCCUAGUCGCUUAAUGGUCUCCUUAAAGUGUUCAUUUCUGCCCCCUAGAGCCAGUGUUCUAGGUCCAGUUCAAGAAAACUAAGUGCUGUUUUACUGGUCUUCAAAGUUAUGCAAUAGUAGCACCACUGACAUCGGUAUGUUAAAAACAGUAAAUCAUCAAAUAUUCGUAUUCUUGUAAUGAAGAAAAGCAAAAAAGAACUAACUUUAUGUUAUUUAUUCAAUUCAGUGUGAGCCAGCUGUUUCUUCUAAAGGCUACAUAGUGAUGACCAUCAAAGUUCAAAAUUUUUAUAAGUUUCAAGUUGAUUAUUAGAAAGAUUAAAAUUUCUUAGUAGCCUGAAAUUUCUGAAAUUUAGUUUUCAGUUUUAGCAAGCAAAUCAUAUCCAAGAAAUUUUAAUAUAAUUUCCCCAUCUUACUCUAAAUUCCUACUUAUAAGCACAUUUACAUGAAAAAAAUUACUUCUUUAAUUAUUCAAUCAAGCUAAAUUAAUGCCAUGUAUUCUGAAUUAGCAGAGUUUUUCUUAAGUUAAUUAAAAUUCAGGUCCAUUUAACUUUUAGACUCAUUAAAAAAUAAGCACUGAUACAAAAGACCCUUUCAAAUGUACUGAACUUAAGCAGUAAUUCUGCAAUUUCUUUCCAUAAAACUAACGAUAAAAGUUUUCUAAUGUAAAAUUUCUUGGGUAUGGUAUAAUGUUAGCCCUCUGUAUUUGCAGGUCCCAAAUCCUCAGGUUCAACCAGCUGUGGAUCAAAAAUAUUCAGGGGGAAGAAAAAUUCCAAAAAGUUCUAAAAGCCAAAAUUUGAAUUUGCUGUGCCAGCAACUAUUUACAUCAUACAGGCAUACCUCAGAGACAUUGUGGGUUUAGUUCCAGGCCAUAGCAAUACAUAAGUUACAUGCAAAUACUAUGCCAUUUUCAAAGGAACUUGAGCAUCCUCAGAUUUUGGUACCUGAGGGGCCCUGGAAACAAUCCCCCCACCUCAGAAACCAAGGGAUGACCAAAAUAUCGAAAUUGAUACUCCAGAACAGAGCUGCCUAAUAAAAACAUAAUGUGAGUCAUGUAUGUAAUUUAAAAUUUUCUAGUAACCACAUUAAAAACAUGAAUUUUCAUAAUUUACAACCCAAUACCGAAGUUAGUUUCAGGUGUACAAUAAGGUGAUUCAAUUAUACAUAUAUAUUCUUUUUCAUAUUUUUUCCAUUAUAAGUUACUAUAAGAUACUGAAUAUAGUUCCCUCUAUUAUACAGUAGGUCUUUGUUGUUUAUCUAUUUUAUAUAUAGUAGUGUGUAUCUGUUAAUCCCAAACUCCUAAUUUAUGCCUCUCCCUCACCCCUUUCCCCUUUAGUAACCACAGUUUGUUUUCUGUGUCUGUGAGUGUAUUUCUAGUUUGUAAAUAAGUUCAUUUGUAUCAUUUUCUUUUUGGAUGCCACAUAUAAAUGAUAGCAUAUAUUUGUCUUUGUCUGAUUUACUGAAGUAUUAUUUCCACAUGUAAUAUUUAUUAAUACACAAUAAGUUCUAUGGUAUAUUUUGUAUGUUUUCCAUACUAGGUUUCCCAAACCUGGUGCAUCUUCCACACUUCCAUAGUAAUAGGUCAGUCCCCUUAAGCACUCAAUAGCCCCAGGGGCUAGCGGCUUCUGAACGGAACAGAGCAGCUCCAGAGACUCCAGAGCAGAUCAACCUCUACUGAAAUGCAACCUAAGAAUCUUCUCCACCUCUAAUCACAAAUUGUACAGGCAUGUCCUCAUGUGUUAAAACCUGGCUAUUAUAAAACAUACCAAAGCAUAUGUUAUUCUCCUUUUCUGAUAAAAAAUUUUCAAAAUCAGAA